rnacentral:rRNA from 1 species
UACGUAGGGACCAAGCGUUGUUCGGAUUUACUGGGCGUAAAGGGCGCGUAGGCGGCAUGACAAGUCACUUGUGAAAUCUCCGGGCUUAACUCGGAACGGUCAAGUGAUACUGUCGCGCUAGAGUGCGGAAGGGGCAAUCAGAAUUCUUGGUGUAGCGGUGAAAUGCGUAGAUAUCAAGAGGAAUACCUGAGGUGAAGACGGGUUGCUAGGCCGACACUGACGCUGAAGCGCGAAAGCCAGGGGAGCAAACGGGAUUAGAUACCCCGGUAGUCCUGGCCCUAAACGAUGAAUACUUGGUGUCUGGAGUUUUUAGUGCUCCGGGUGCCGUCGCUAACGUUUUUAGUAUUCCGCCUGGGGAGUACGCUCGCAAGAGUGAA